CGGUUUGAAUGCCGCCGCCCUCUCCAUUCCACAACACUCCCAAAUUCAAAACUAGCACUCCGAAAGUUUCAACUCUCCAAGGCAUUUCAUUUCAAUUAUUUUCAAAGAACAUUUCGAUUCCCUUAACGAUGGAGGCCGCGAAGACGACGAGGGGAGCGGGAGGUAGAAGAGGUGAAGACAGGAAGAAGUCGGUCCGAAGUCUAUCAGGGUUGGGCUUCAAUUCCCCGUGGGUCGGAUUGCUCGGUAUUUGAAGAAGGGUCGCUACGCUCAGAGGACAGGCUCUGGUGCUUCGAUCUACCUCGCCGCGGUUCUUGAAUAUCUCCCUGCUGAGUGGUGGAAUUAAUGAAUAUCUUUGGUUAUGUGAGAGAAAUAAUUUACAAAGUAUAGUCCAUUCCCCUAUCAGUGGAUUGCAAGACACAUAUGGCAAUCAAAUCUUAAAUGUAACAUAUCUUAAUUCUCAGAACCACAAGCACAUCCCAGAAUCUUCACGAAGAAUACAAUGAUAGUCCAGUUGCCAAGAAAAGAGAUCUCCAGUAGAGAGAGGGUGAAUUCCAUCAAAGAGAGGAACAACACCAAAAGAGAGGAAAAUUAGUUUUGCUAAUGUUGUGUUGGGGACUUAGUUGAUUGGUUAAGUUUGUAAGCAUUGUAGUUAGACGGGUCACUUGUAAAGUUGUGGUGACAUUACUUUAUGUGCUACACUGUACCAAACUGAUGAUGUUACAAUAAAUGACUAGAGUUUUUCACAAA